AGUUCUGGUCGCCGGCCAGCCACCAUUUCCGGCCAACAUUCAUUCAAGCCUUUAGUUCACCCAUUUAGCUCCAAAUCAAGGUAUUUAAGUCAAACUUUUCCUACUCUCCUUAGUUGCUGGAAAUUAGGUUUUGACACAUCAAAAUCUUGUUAUUUAGGUGCAAUUGAAGGAAUUUAUACUUGGGGAUUGGUUCGACAAGUUGGUGCCAUUGCUAUGCAAUGUUACGUCACGUCCAUCUUUUAAUCCCGGGGCAUUUUUAUCAUUCCCUCACAUUCCCUUUCCCUGUGGAGAUCAGGGCAUGACAAAUGAAGCUCUUUGAACUGGUUAAUCAUCAUAAUGAUCUCAUAUCACUCAAGAUUCAACUUUGAAAGUGAAUGAAGUUCGAUUUUGAAGUAUGAGCUUGGAGCUCUAUGAAACCAAGAAAAUCCUAGUUCAUCAACCUUCCAUUAAGGUACAUUGAGAGAUGAUUGGAACAAUCCUUAGGGCUAUAUAUUCUGGAGAUUAUGAGCUGCAAAUUCAUAUUUGUAUUGUGAAGAAUUCUGGUUGUGCAUGCCUUUGCAACAUUUGACCCAAUUGAGACUAGUUGUGCGACAUUGGUCUAGCUUGAUUAAUUUAAUGAUUGGACCAAGUAUGAUAUAGUAUAUGUGCCGGAAAUUAAUCAAGAUUGUUUCUAGAAGACUUAUCAAAGCUUAGAGAGAUGUCUCUACAAAGUUUGAAAUCAAGAGACAAAGCUUGGAGGCAAAAUAGGAGAGUGAGUCACAUCACUUUUACCUUAAAUGGACCAACAUAUGGUACAAUUGUGGACAAUACUUUGUACUUCUUUCUAGAAUUGGUUAGUUCCUUGUGUUGGGUGCAUUUGUGAAAGAGUGUGAGCUACAUUGAAGACCUAUUCUCUACAACCAAACAUGGCCUGUCUAAAGGAGAUUUUUUCAAAAUUGUUGGAGCCAAAAUGAAGAGCCAAGAUUGCAUAGUACAACUCAUCCUAUGGUCAAGAUUUAAAGUGUAAAAAGGUAUUUUUCGUCCCUUAACUAUGGACGUAGUUUCAUUUUCGUCAUUUUCCUUUUUUUGUCCCAUUUUCGUGUCCCAUCUAUGGCAAGGUAUCCAGUUUGUCCCUCGAAUAAAUUCGACGAUGAAAAAAUCAUAUGUGGCAUCUAAGUUGGCUGAAAUUGUACAUGUGGAAUAAUGAUGUGUAAGGGUCCAUGUAAGAGAGGAUGAAGCUUGGAAGAGCAUCUGUGGAGGCUUCCAUGGGUAAUGCUUUUUUCUUGCAAGGUGGGGAUUGUGUGGAGAGUUUCAAGGAGUUAAAUGCCUACAAUAUUCGUCA